CUCCACCUCCGCGGCGGAACCCGACGUCCGUGCUCGGGAAGCGGCUGCAACGAUGGAGCCGCGGAACAGCUGUGCCUGGAACGGGGUCUGCGGGGGCACUUCGGCCCAAAGGCCCUGGCUGGGAGAGGAAGGUCUCACCCUCAUCCUCAGCUGCAACCGAAGCCCAUCUCUGGCCGCAGUUUGCACGGCGCUGGGAGCAGUGAGUGUUGGCUGAAGGACAACUUUUACCUCAUCUGCAAAACAGGAUGUUCCAAAACCAGACCUGAUUUUCCGCCGUGAGAACCUCGGGCAAAUGUAAAUUGAUAUUAACUUGAAAAGCAAACACAAACACGGGCUUAUUAUUUAUCGUUAAAACCUCUCAGGAAGGCUCUCGAGCCCUACAAGCAAAACUUUGAUGCCGUAUAAAAGAAUUAUGUUCCUGAGAUGUAUCCGUUCAAUAAUUAAAGCAGCAGCUAUGAAAUAUAAA
ensembl:lncRNA